GCAUUGGUGGUUGAGUGGUAGGAUUCUUGCCUUUCAUGCAGGAUAUCUGAGUUUGAUUUCCAGCCGAUGCA
rnacentral:tRNA from 1 species